rnacentral:rRNA from 1 species
UACGAAGGGGGCUAGCGUUGCUCGGAAUCACUGGGCGUAAAGGGUGCGUAGGCGGGUCUUUAAGUCAGAGGUGAAAUCCUGGAGCUCAACUCCAGAACUGCCUUUGAUACUGAGGGUCUUGAGUAUGACAGAGGUGAGUGGAACUGCGAGUGUAGAGGUGAAAUUCGUAGAUAUUCGCAAGAACACCAGUGGCGAAGGCGGCUCACUGGGUCAUUACUGACGCUGAGGCACGAAAGCGUGGGGAGC